rnacentral:rRNA from 1 species
UGACGGUACCUGCAGAAGAAGCGCCGGCUAACUACGUGCCAGCAGCCGCGGUAAUAAGUAGGGCGCAAGCGUUGUCCGUAAUUAUUGGGCGUAAAGAGCUCGUAGCCGGUUUGUCGCGUCUGCCGUGAAAGUCUGGGGCUUAUCUCCGGAUCUGCGGUGGGUACGGGCAGGCUAGAGUGCGGUAGGGGUGACUGGAAUUCUUGGUGUAGCGGUGGAAUGCGCAGAUAUCAGGAGGAACACCGAUGGCGAAGGCAGGUCACUGGGCCGCAACUGACGCUGAGGAGCGAAAGCAUGGGGAGCGAACAGGAUUAGAUACCCUGGUAGUCCAUCCCGUAAACGUUGGGCACUAAGUGUGGGGGGACAUUCCACGUUUUCCGCGCCGUAGCUAACGCAUUAAGUGCCCCGCCUGGGGAGUACGGCCGCAAGGCUAAAACUCAAAGGAAUUGACGGGGGCCCGCACAAGCGGCGGAGCAUGCGGAUUAAUUCGAUGCAACGCGAAGAACCUUACCAAGGCUUGACAUACACCGGAAACUCUUAGAGAUAAGAGCCUCUUCGGACUGGUGUACAGGUGGUGCAUGGUUGUCGUCAGCUCGUGUCGUGAGAUGUUGGGUUAAGUCCCGCAACGAGCGCAACCCUCACCUUAUGUUGCCAGCACGUUAUGGUGGGGACUCAUGGGAGACUGCCGUGGUCAACUCGGAGGAAGGUGGGGAUGACGUCAAAUCAUCAUGCCCCUUAUGUCUUGGGCUUCACGCAUGCUACAAUGGCCGGUACAAAGGGCUGCGAUCCCGUGAGGGGGAGCGAAUCCCAAAAAGCCGGUCUCAGUUCGGAUAGGGGUCUGCAACUCGACCCCAUGAAGUCGGAGUCGCUAGUAAUCGCAGAUCAGCAACGCUGCGGUGAACAAAAAACCGGGCCUUGUACUCACCGCCCGUCAAG